UAAAAAACAAAAGACGAAUAUCAUGAGAUCAGUGUCAUCAUCCUACGUCUAAACAAUCACCAGUGACUCUCCAGCUGCUCGGCCUAAUGUCACACAAAUGCAGCACGGAGGAGGAUGCUGUUAUUUUUGACUGAGUCAGCAUCAAUACGCCGAUGCUGUCGCCUUUCUGUGCGGAUGAGGGGAAUCCUUCGCUCUCUGCAGCUCUGUUUUACGUAAGUGGUCUUGUUAGAGCUGGUUUCACACAUCCCCUCUGUAUAAUACACAGUGAGCUGCCGCCGCCACUGCUGCUGCUGACUUCAGACUCUGCACAUUCCCAAAUAUUACAGUUCAUCAGCAGAGCAACAAGAACAUCUAUAAACAGGCUCUGACACAUUUGCACUGCUUCAGUUUGAGAGCUGUCGCUUUCUUUUGCUUUCUUAGAAGCUUGUAUGUCUGCAGGAUGUUGAUUGAAACACAAUUAAAUAUGUAGCAUUUAAUGAAGUUUGCACUUAAAAGACAUCACAAGUCAAGCAAUAAUGCACCAUGAAUUUAUACUGUAUACAUACAGUAUGUAAAACAAUCCACUUAAACACGCAGUACCUAAUUUUUUGGCCACUUUCAGGUAGUGGAAAAAAAUAGCAAACACACACCCCGUGUUCUUUGUCUUUUUACUCUCAGUGUGCACUGCUGCUGCCCUUACAAAGUACAUACUGCUGCAUGGAGUGUGCAUACAACUGGGCAUACCACUUUAUAAUAACGCUGUGCCUUGAUCUUCGAUUGUCUUGCUCUUAUAUCUGUUGCAGUAAAAUGAAACAGUAUGUAAUUUGGAAUGCAGCAGGCCUUAACGUUAUCCGUUAGCAUUACCUUGGAGAUACAACGAAACAGCAUUUGACAAGCUGGCCAGAGAUGGAGGUCAACCUAGAGAGCUCCGCUGUUUGCAAUGUAUGCAGUUUUAGCCAGUCUCUGUCUGCUAUCGAUGAGCUGUCCUCUAUCUUCAGCUCAGCUGAUUUGAUGCAUCUUCCACUACGCAGAGGAUUGUGGGAAAGAAUAGCCACAAAAAAAAAUAAAUACUGCAUUUGACAUACUAUGUAUUGGGACAUACUAAGUCUUUUUCCGGCAUGCAUUUGGUCAUUAGUCAUUUGGAAUCAUGUUUUCGGUGACCUGAUGAAUGUAGCCUGGUCAUCAGGCCGAUUAGCUAUCGGCUGUGGCUGCUGUUGGAGCUAUGCAACCACUAAACAGCACCUACAGUGUAAAAACAAAUACUAGAAUUUAAAGAUUACAUUAUUUCUAACUUCUAACACCAAGAAAUGAUGUGAUACUAUGCACAAUGAAAAAGUAAAUAAUCAAGAACCAUUGUCAAUUAUUUGAGGCUAAAUUGUAUCGAAGUGCAAGAAAGUGAAAAUUUAACAAAUAUGUUUAUUUUAUAAAUAUAUUAAAGUUAAUAAGGGAGUGACAAGUAUUUAUAGUGAAUACUAUAAUUUAUCUGCGUUUAGGGAUUGUGUAUCUUAUAUUACUCAAAGAAAUCCCUUAAGACAGUGGAUCCCAACUGGUGGGUCAUGGUCCAAAAGUGGGUUGUGGGUCCAUUCUCAAAGGACCGCAAAUGACUUGCAAAUGUGUCAAGUUUCUAAAAAACAAACUUUAUUUUUAAGUACAGUGAAUUUCUGGCACAGAGCUCUUAUUCUGAAGUGCUGUUUCCUGCUGUAGCAUGAGUGACUAACGGACAGGUUCUUGACAGAGACAGCAAACUAACUCGACGACAUGGCCAAACGCAAGUAUGACACUAAAUACAUUAAACUGUGUGGACCUUGAGGAGAAAUCUGGACCCUGAGGCUGGACCAGUUGGGAACCACUGCUAUAAUUUAUCUGUAUUUAAGUAAGUAGAUUCCAAGAAAAUCUUAUUCAGCAAAAUGAGAAAAAGUUUGAUUUUAUUUUUUAACCUCUGUCCCUUUCUUUGGUGUGUGAUGUGAAUGGCCUCCGUGAUAGCUGAGCAAACUCUACCUGCUGAUGAAGACCAUUAAAUGCAUUUGAAAUCUCCAGAAAAGCCUAGUAUGAAAGACCAGAGACCGAGCUGUCCUCAGGGGGGUUUUAUGGAAGCUGAGUGCCCGACUCAGAGGCAUCCCGCUGGGCUUACUGCCCCUUGUUUCCUCCUCACCCUGCAGCUAUGCACAUAAAGCCCUUGAUCAUCUACAGCAACAGCAGACAUGACCCGGUGACUACUAAGCACGGAUCAUCCUGUCAAACAAAACCUGUGGUUGGAAGAAUAUAGAUGGGCGGAAGGAAACUUUCAAUGACGGAGGAGCAUGUGACGUGUGAGGAACCAGCUGAUAUAAAGUGUUACUCACCUGUACAAACAAAGACAUGUGUGGCUC